GCGAAAGCAUUUGCCAAGAAUGUUUUCAUUAAUCAAGAACGAAAGUCAGAGGUGCGAAGGCGAUCAGAUACCGCCGUAGUUCUGACCGUAAACGUUGCCGACUGGCAAUUGGGCGCACUUCUGCCGAAGUUGCCGCCAGCAGUAUUCGCCCGGGAAACCAAAGUCAUUGGGUUCCGGGGGGAGUAUGGUUGCAAAGCUGAAACUUAAAGGAAUUGACGGAAGGGCACCACCAGGAGUGGAGCCUGCGGCUUAAUUUGACUCAACACGGGAAACCUCACCCGGCCCGAACACUGUUAUGACAGACAGGUUGAGAGCUCUUUCUCGAUUCAGUGGUUGGUGGUGCAUGGCCGUUCUUAGUUCGUGGAGCGAUCUGUCUGGUUAAUUCCGAUAACGAACGAGAUUCUUGCCUGCUAAAUAGACGGCGCCGACGCAGUGCGGCGGCCGUUCGCUUCUUAGAGGGACAAGCGGCUUAUAGCCGCGUGAAGCUGAGAGCAAUAACAAGGUCUGUAUGCCCUCAGAUGUUCGGGGCCGCACGCGCGCAUCAGCGUGUUUCCCCAGCGCCGGUCGGCGCUGGCAACCCGUUGAACCGCAAACGUGCUAGGGAUCGGAGAUUGCAAUUGUUCUCCGUGAACGAGGAAUUCCUUGUACUGGCGAGUCAUCAGCUCGCGGGGAAUCUGUCCCUGCCCUUUGUACACACCGCCCGUCGCUACUACCGAUUGAGUGGUUUAGUGAGGCUCACGGACUGCGAGCGGCACCCGUCGGCCUCGGCCGGCACAGGCGUCGCGAGCGGAAAGUGAGACGAACUUGAUCACUUCUAGGAAGUAAAAGUCGUAACAAGGUUUUCGUAGGUGAACCUGCGGAAGGAUC
rnacentral:rRNA from 1 species